rnacentral:misc_RNA from 1 species
GAUGAAGAACGUAGCGAAAUGCGAUAAGUAAUGUGAAUUGCAGAAUUCAGUGAAUCAUCGAAUCUUUGAACGCACAUUGCGCCCGCCAGUAUUCUGGCGGGCAUGCCUGUCUGAGCGUCAUUUCAACCCUCAUGCCCCUAGGGCGUGGUGUUGGGGAUCGGCCAAAGCCCGCGAGGGACGGCCGGCCCCUAAAUCUAGUGGCGGACCCGUCGUGGCCUCCUCUGCGAAGUAGUGAUAUUCCGCAUCGGAGAGCGAUGAGCCCCUGCCGUUAAACCCCCAACUUUCCAAGGUUGACCUCAGAUCAGGUAGGAAUACCCGCUGAACUUAGGCAUAUCAAUAAGUGGAGGA